GAUGAACGCUGGCGGCGUGCCUAAUACAUGCAAGUCGAGCGAACGGACGAGAAGCUUGCUUCUCUGAUGUUAGCGGCGGACGGGUGAGUAACACGUGGAUAACCUACCUAUAAGACUGGGAUAACUUCGGGAAACCGUAGCUAAUACCGGAUAAUAUUUUGAACCGCAUGGUUCAAAAGUGAAAGACGGUCUUGCUGUCACUUAUAGAUGGAUCCGCGCUGCAUUAGCUAGUUGGUAAGGUAACGGCUUACCAAGGCAACGAUGCAUAGCCGACCUGAGAGGGUGAUCGGCCACACUGGAACUGAGACACGGUCCAGACUCCUACGGGAGGCAGCAGUAGGGAAUCUUCCGCAAUGGGCGAAAGCCUGACGGAGCAACGCCGCGUGAGUGAUGAAGGUCUUCGGAUCGUAAAACUCUGUUAUUAGGGAAGAACAUAUGUGUAAGUAACAGUGCACAUCUUGAUGGUACCUAAUCAGAAAGCCACGGCUAACUACGUG
rnacentral:rRNA from 1 species